rnacentral:rRNA from 1 species
UACGUAGGGGGCUAGCGUUGUCCGGAAUCAUUGGGCGUAAAGAGCGUGUAGGCGGUCCGGUAAGUCCGCUGUGAAAGUCGGGGGCUCAACCCUCGAAUGCCGGUGGAUACUGUCGGGCUAGAGUGCGGAAGAGGCGAGUGGAAUUCCUGGUGUAGCGGUGAAAUGCGCAGAGUAUCAGGAGGAACACCAGUUGGCGAAGGCGGUCUC